AGCAGUGUGGUGUAGUGCGCACACGGGGUCUCCUUGAGUCAGAAUAGAAUAUUGCCCUCGAGGUCCUUGUUCGAGUCAAGGUGCUGCUG